AGAGUUUGAUCCUGGCUCAGGAUAAACGCUGGCGGCGUGCCUAAAACAUGCAAGUCGAACGGGUGCUCGCCUUCGGGCGGGUGCCAGUGGCGGACGGCUGAGUAACACGUGGGUGACCUGCCCUCGAGCGGGGGAUAACUGCCCGAAAGGGUGGCUAAUACCGCAGACAUCAUGGGUUCGAUCCCGUGAUUGAACCUUCGGGGUUCGGGGAGGGGCCCGCAGCCGAUUAGCUAGCUGGUGGGGUGACGGCCUACCAGGGCGUCGAUCGGUAGCUGGUCUGAGAGGAUGAUCAGCCAGACUGGGACUGCGAACGGCCCAGACUCCUACGGGAGGCAGCAGUUAGGAAUUUUGGGCAAUGGGCGGAAGCCUGACCCAGCAACGCCGCGUGGGUGAUGAAGGCCCUCGGGUCGUAAAGCCCUUUUCCCAGGGAAGAUGGUGACGGUACCUGGGGAAUCAGCCCCGGCUAACUACGUGCCAGCAGCCGCGGUAAUACGUAGGGGGCAAGCGUUGUCCGGAUUUAUUGGGCGUAAAGCGCUCGCAGGUGGCCCGUCGCGUCGUGCGUGAAAGACCCCGGCUCAACCGGGGGGCGUCGUGCGAUACGGGCGGGCUGGAGGCCAGUAGGGGGAUGCGGAAUUCCGGGUGUAGUGGUGGAAUGCGUAGAGAUCCGGAGGAACACCAGCGGCGAAGGCGGCAUCCUGGACUGGUCCUGACACUCAGGAGCGAAAGCGUGGGGAGCGAUCCGGAUUAGAUACCCCGGUAGUCC
rnacentral:rRNA from 1 species